rnacentral:tRNA from 1 species
GUGGGUAUUGCUCAGUGGUAGAGCAUGUGCUUAGCAUGCACAAGGUCCUGGGUUCAAUCCCCAGUACCUCCU